rnacentral:tRNA from 1 species
GGAGGGGUGGCCGAGUGGUCGAAGGCGCGCGCUUGGAGAGCGCGUGUACGCUUGCGUACCGUGGGUUCGAAUCCCACCCCCUCCGCCA